ACCCUUUCAGAGAAGCAGUAUUUCAUAACGUCCAGCCUGAAUCUUCCCUGGUGCAGCUUGAAGCCAUUCCCUCUAGUCCUAUCUAGUCCUCUAAUGAGGUUCAACAAGGCCAAGUGUAUGGUGUUGCACUUGAGUGAGGGAAAAUCCCAGAUAUAUAUUGGGAGGUAUGUAAGAUGUGUGGCUGGGAGAACAAUAAAUUGAGAAAUGCCUUGCAGAGAAGGACUUGGGUGUCCUGGUGGACAAAAAACCGGAUAUGAGUCAGAAAUGUGCAUUUACAGCCAGGAAGAACAGCUGUAUCCUGGGCUACAUCAGAAGAGGGAUGGCGAUCAGGGCAAGGAAGGUGAUUGUCCUCCCCCACUCUGCCUUUGUGAGGGCCCACCUGGAGUACUACAUCAGUAUUUGGCAUCCCCAGCACAAGAAAGAUGUGGAGUUGUUGGACGAGGUCCAAGAGAGAGCCAUGGAGAUGACCAGAGGGCUCGUGCACUGUUCUUAUGAAGAGAGGUUGAAGGAAUGUGGCAUGUACAAUGUGGAGAGAAGAAGGCUUCAGAGGGCAGAAAUGAUUCAAAGGAUGCAAGCUUCAUUACAAGUUUAAAGAAAGUAGAAUUCUCUUCUUGGGAAAUGGGAGUAAGAUUGUAUGUGACAGACAGGAACAAACAAAAACAGAACUAAUAAUCAUAGAAUGAGCUGGAUUGAAAAGGACCACAGUGAUCAUUGAGUUUCAACCCCUCUGCUACGUGCAGGGUUGCCAACCACCAGACCAGGCUGCCCAGAGCCACAUCCAGCCUGGCCUUGAAUGCCUCCAGGGAUGAGGCAUCCACAGCCUCAUUGGGCAAGCUGUACCAGUGCAUCACUACCCUCUGCGUGAAAAACUUCCUCCUAAUAUCCAACCUAAACCUCCCCUAUCUUAGUUUAAAACCAUUCCCCCUUGUCCUAUCACUAUCUUCCCUUGCAAACACUUGUACCCCCUCUUUUUUAUACACUCCCGUCAGAUAUUGGAAGGAAUAACUUGCUUAAAAACUGAUAUCACAGCUUACCUUUUUGUCUGACACUGGGGCAGUUGAGAGCUAGGAACACUUGAAAAAUAGUGUGUCAACAGCUGAAGGUGAGGUAUGGCACACAAAAAAUGAGGACCCUACCAGUUACUGUAGUCUUCUUCCUUUAUCAGGAUUUGGACUAGUGUUAAUUACAGCUAGCCCUUGUGGGCUGUGUUUUCGUUGGCUAUUCUCUUUACAGUGGUAGUGGAAUUUUGAAACAAAACUCUGAAUGUUUCCACUUAGCAUGUAUUAGAUUAGCACACAUCAACUAGACUUAUUUCAAAGAAAAUGGCACCAGAAAUUCUGAUCCAAAUACACAUCAAAAAGUAAUGUAAACGUAAAACUAAAAUCAAGGAAGCUAUCCAGUGAAAUACAUGAAUUUCAGGGACCCUUGGGGACACUGAAUAUUUUGAAUUCACCAAAGCUGGGGCUGAGGGCUCUUGAAUAACUGUGAGUGUUGCAGCUCUAAGGCUCAUUAUAUAUAUACCUAUAUGUACUCUAAAAAUACCUAUAUGUACUCUUACAUAAAUACCUAAAUGUACUCUUACACAGGUGAUUCAGGUGCAAGAGAUGGCAGAAGAAAAUGGCUAAUGCAAAGGAGACCACAGAACUCCCUACCACUGGCUGUGCAUCUGUAAGCCCUUCUAAGCUGAUGUGCUAUGUAUUGUCUUUGGUACUGAAAUUUAUUUGUAUAAGUGCUUAGAACUGUGUACUUAAUUUCAUAUUAUUACUUAAUGUCUUUCUUUUUGUACAAGAAAUGUAAUUUUAGACAGACAACCAAUACAGAGCUCCAAGAUGGUUAACAUAUUUGUCAGGAUUAGAUGUUAAAGAUAGCUAACCUGUAGCCACUGUCAAAAUUUGUUAGAUAGAUAACCCUGACAGAUGUCUUUUACUUCAGAUUGAGUGCUUCUUUAAGCUAUCUAUUGAAUUUUAGUCCACUUUAAAGAGAAAUUCUGUCCUUGUUUGACUUUUGUGAAAAGAAGUCUCGUGAUAUCAAAAUCUACCAUACAUAGAGGUUUAAAGUGCAAAUGAAUAGGUCAUUGUGGUGGCUAUGUAUCAGAUAAACUCUUACAUAAUUCCACUUGCCAUAAUAAUGUUACUUUGCCUUGGCUGAGAUAUCUAAAACUAGUCCAUUAAGCUUAGAAGUGUUUUUACAUAUGCCAUGAUGAAUGAGGAUAGAAGUAUUACAAUUGCUUCAGGGCUUUUCAGAACUGCAAGGGAAAAUAAUUCUUUGCUGUAUGAAUAUUUCAUUAAAAAUCUUUGUUCCUGUGAGCUAGGUCCAUUGGCAAAAAACAAAUACAGAUAUUCUGCAGACAUGGCUAGGUUAUGCAGAGCGUUAGCAAAAGUACACUUGCAGUUGUUAUCAGCAUCGUGUCAACUUCACUGAAUGAAGGAGACACUCUGCAGAAUGGUGGUUUUUUUUUCAAUUUUCAGCAUAUAAGGUCAUUUUGUCCUUUGUUAAAACAAGGACAUAAACAAUAGAAGAGGUAUAAGAUAAAUUAGAUGAAAAAAAAAACCACAAGACUAGUUAAUGUACAAACGGAAAUACAGCAAAUUUGCCUGAUGCAAUUAACUCAAUUUUUUUUCCAUGUGUAAGAUUUAUUUUAUUUUUAAUGGGAAAUGACAUCCAAGACCCUGAGUCAAACACAGAUUGAAUACAGGCUGAAAUACAUUUGCUUUUACUUCUCUAUAACUGAGUAUAAAAAGCACCUAGAGUGCAUCUUUCAGCAUGCUAUGAAGAUGGGUAAAGUACAGUGGGACUAGAAGGUAGCUUUUGCAAUUUUUUAUUUUUUAUUUUUUUUAAGGAUAUUGGAUAUUUGUAGAAAUAGAAGUCACCCAAGCUAGCAUCACUGUUUUAUAUAGAAAAAUCAAAUAUUAACAACACAACCAUCCUUCCCUAGGGUCUUACAGGAUCUGUGGGAAACUUGAAGGAUCCAGAUGAGUCACCAUACAUAAAGGUUCUCUACUGCAAAACCAUUUAAGCAACUAUAAAAAAAAUAAAAAAAUAAAAAUCCCACCUCACACAGUGGAAAACAUUGAAGUCUGUGGGACAAGAAGGUCUGCUUAGACCCAUGGUCAAGUUCUAACAAUAUGUUUGUAGUAAUUAGAACAUAUUAAAAUGAAUUCCCCUCCGGUUCUCCCUCAGAAAUCCUCCAAGGAAUAAUUGAAGUCUUGCCAAAACAAAUUCCUAAAUUAUAACAGUCUCAGUUGGGCAAGCCCCUACAGAUAUUAUUUGAAUAGUGUUGAAGAAUCUUGCAAAUGAAAUGAAAAUGUGUUAGUACUUUAAAGCUUGUCAGGUUCAGAAAUCACUUCAGUUUCUCACUUGUUUUUUUCUCAGACAAACCCUUUAGACUCUGACACACUUUCUCAGCGUUACUUAUCUGCCCUGACACACUGAGUUUUGCAGACUUCUUUAAUUGACAGCUUUUUCUUAUUUAAUUAUUCUUUUUGUACAUAGGCCUUUCAUUUUGGCUUAUUCCUCUUCAGUAUAAUGAAUAUUUUCUUAUUUUCCAUUUGACUUUCCUGACAGCAUUGUACAGAACUUAAUUUUGAGACAACUGUAUGCCCAAAUUAAUACCUUCUAUGGCUGUUGAGUCAUGCAGGAUGGAAGUCUCAGGGGCUGUUGAUCAGUGCCCACCACCCCACUGUCACUGGCCUGGCUACUACUCUGUGAUCUGUGGAUGUCUGGUCUCCCCAUGGCCUCUAUCACAGGUGGCCUGGCUAAUCCAGUCCUUGUUCAGGUGUUGUCCGGAGAGCUCAUUAAGGUGCUUUCCAAGGCAAAACCUGUCAAUACAAGUCUUGCAUAUGCCUGAUGCGAAUAUAACUCACUUACAGGUCCUAUCCUACUCAGAUAAGAGAACUCUCAGUAGUGCUUACCCAAGGACUGGUUCACACCCACAGGGUGUCUUAUAAUACAUGCUUGGUGGUCUUGAUUCCCUGCUCUUCCUAACAGCAUCGUUUUACAUGGGGAAGGAGAGAAGACUGUUUCUAAGUUCUAAAUGAACUUCUUCCUUCCAUUUGUCCUUUCUUUUCAGGCUGAAUAUCUCUGCUUGUAAUCUUGCCCAUUACACCCAUAAAGAACUCCUCACAGCUGACUGCUGCCUGUUCCUUCUCUGUCUAUGCACUGCCAGUCUUAACAAAUACUGAAAAAUUUUGCUAGUCUCUUAGAAUGUUUCCAUUCUUUUUCCAAGAAGCUGGUAAUUAUUUUAGAUUGCAUUGCUAGAUUUUUUUCCUUUAAACUUAAUCUCAAACUCUGCCUGUCUGCUGCCCACAGCAAAUAUCAUUUCCUGUAUCAUUUUGGAAUGAUAUCUUAACUAAUGCCUCAUAAUAGUCACCUUCCAGAAACUCCCAUUUGUACUGAGUGACUAUUUUUCAGUAGAAAACUAACUGCUUUGUGGAAGCUUUCUUUCAGAAAUCAGUAUA